GGGGGAAGGGUAAAACAGGAGAAAACAGCCACGCAAGGGACUUAAAAUCCCUCGGCCGCAAGGCUGUGCGAGUUCGAUUCUCGCUCCGGGCACCA
rnacentral:tRNA from 1 species